UGUCAAUGAUAAAAACUUUGACUUGAUUCUAGAGAUGUGUCGUCUUAAAAGUCAUUCUCAAUAUGGUUAUGCUUAGGACC
rnacentral:snoRNA from 1 species